rnacentral:rRNA from 1 species
GAGUUUGAUCCUGGCUCAGGAUGAACGCUAGCGGCAGGCUUAACACAUGCAAGUCGAGGGGCAGCGCGGGUAGCAAUACCUGGCGGCGACCGGCAAACGGGUGCGGAACACGUACGCAAUCUACCCUUACCCGGGGCAUAGCCCGAAGAAAUUCGGAUUAACUCCCCAUAAGAUAUUAGAGAGGCAUCUCUUAGAUAUUAAAAUUUAUUGGGUAAGGAUGAGCGUGCGUCCCAUUAGCUAGUUGGUAGGGUAACGGCCUACCAAGGCGACGAUGGGUAGCUGGUGUGAGAGCACGACCAGCCACACGGGCACUGAGACACGGGCCCGACUCCUACGGGAGGCAGCAGUGAGGAAUAUUGGUCAAAUGGACGCAAGUCUGAACCAGCCAUGCCGCGUGAAGGAUGAAGGCCUUCUGGUUGUAAACUCUUUUAUCUGGGAAGAAACCUCCGAUUUCUAUUGGAGUUGACGGUACCAGAGGAAUAAGCACCGGCUAACUCCGUGCCAGCCGCCGCUGU